rnacentral:rRNA from 2 species
AGAUACCGCCCUAGUUCUGACCGUAAACGAUGCCAACUAUCAAUCCGCCAGUGGCUUUGAGUCAUUGGCGGGCGGAUCGACGGAAACGAAAGUUUUUCGGUUCCGGGGGAAGUAUGGUUGCAAAGCUGAAACUUAAAGGAAUUGACGGAAGGGCACCACCAGGAGUGGAGCUUGCGGCUUAAUUUGACUCAACACGGGAAACCUCACCCGGCCAGUACAUCAUAAGGAUUGACAGAUUGAUAGCUCUUUCAUGAUUUGAUGAAUGGGGGUGCAUGGCCGUUCUUAGUUCGUGGCGUGAGUCGUCUGCUUAAUUGCGAUAACGAGCGAGACUCCGUCUGCUAAAUACCCGCUGGAUUAUUUGUCCACGCGAGUUUUUAGCUGGAUUCGAGACUCCAAGUCUUAAGAAAUGGAGCAAUAACAGGUCUGUGAUGCCCUUAGAUGUUCGGGGCCGCACGCGUGCUACAAUGAUGGUAACAGCGUGAUUGUCCUCGCCCGAGAGGGCUUGGCAAACAGUUGAGAUAUUAUUAUGGCUGGAAUUGAGUGUUGAAAUUUUCCCUCAUGAACGAGGAAUCCAAGUAAAUGCGAGUCAUCAACUUGCAUUGAUUACGUCCCUGCCCUUUGUACACACCGCCCGUCGCUACCCGGGACUGAGUUGUUUCGAGAAAUCUACGGA